AAAAGCCAGUUCAUGCUUUUAUAGUAUGAAAAUUGGUGAUUUAUAAUAACUUAGCAAAUCGCAAAGUGAAAACAGGCGAUAAAUCAUUCAAGUUUCUGACCUAUCAGCUUUCGACGGUAUGGUAUUGGCUUACCGUGGCAGUGACGGUUAACGGGGGAUUAGGGUUCGAUUCCGGAGAGGGAGCCUGAGAAACGGCUACCACAUCUAAGGAAGGCAGCAGGCGCGCAAAUUACCCAAUUCUAACAGUUUGAGAGAGGUAGUAACAAGAAAUAACAAUACAAGGCAGUUAAAAUGCUUUGUAAUUGGAAUGAUAGAAAUUUAAACCCUUUUUAAAGUAUCAAUUGGAGGGCAAGUCUGGUGCCAGCAGCCGCGGUAAUUCCAGCUCCAAUAGCGUAUAUUAAAAUUGUUGCAGUUAAAAAGCUCGUAGUUGAAGUUCUGCUGAAAGUAACCGGUCUGCUUUUAAUAAAAGUGGUAUCUUGGUAUGUAUUUAGCAAUGAUGUCCUUUGAAGUGUUUUUUACUUUAUUGUAAUAAAGCAUAUUCAGGACUUUUACUUUGAGAAAAUUAGAGUGUUUCUAGCAGGCUAACGCUUUGAAUACUGCAGCAUGGAAUAA
rnacentral:rRNA from 1 species